UCAGUGUUUCAAUAAGCUCUCCACUUGGCUACUGGGAAGAAGCUGAGGCUCAUCUUUCUUUGAGGCUGGAGGUGAAGCAGCUCCUCGGCAGCCUUUAUUGAUUAUAGUCCUAGAAGGCAGCAGCCUUCUGAGAUGAAUACAUCUGUAAAGAAAUGUGGAAGAGUCUGGGGGACUUUCCCAGUGAGAGGAACAGAACCGAGAUCUCAGCAGGAAUUUCAGAUGUCUCUCUGGAACAUGUCAGUCUGACCACUGAUGUUGGGCAUGAUGUGACAAGCAUGAUGGUUGCAAGACUGUGGCGUACGUAGAAGAGAGAUUUUAUUCAAACAAGAAUUUGUUGCAAGAUCCCUGAACAAUGGGCCAAGAUACUGGAAAACACAUUUGGACUUCCUAAGAAGAAAUGCAUUAAGUAAGCAAGAAACAAAAAAACCUGUAUGUCAAAUAGCCCAUGGCAGUAUGGUGUUUAUUAGUUUGUAAUUUUUCUACCAUGUAUAGAUUCCUUAUUCUCUUUGUUCUUUGUAAAUU